UACGGGGGGGGCAAGCGUUGUUCGGAAUUAUUGGGCGUAAAGGGCUCGUAGGCGGUUUGUCGCGUCGGGAGUGAAAACCUUGGGCUUAACUCAGGGCUUGCUUUCGAUACGGGCAGACUAGAGGUAUGCAGGGGAGAACGGAAUUCCUGGUGUAGCGGUGAAAUGCGCAGAUAUCAGGAGGAACACCGGUGGCGAAGGCGGUUCUCUGGGCAUGUCCUGACGCUGAGGAGCGAAAGUGUGGGGAGCGAACAGG
rnacentral:rRNA from 1 species